rnacentral:rRNA from 1 species
UACGGAGGAUGCGAGCGUUAUCCGGAUUUAUUGGGUUUAAAGGGUGCGCAGGCGGCACGGCAAGCCGGCGGUCAAAUCGCGGGGCUCAACCCCGCCCAGCCGUCGGAACUGCCGGGCUAGAGUGGGCGAGAAGUGCGCGGAAUGCGUGGUGUAGCGGUGAAAUGCAUAGAUAUCACGCAGAACUCCGAUUGCGAAGGCAGCGCACCGGCGCCCUACUGACGCUCAGACACGAAAGCGUGGGUAUCGAACAGG